rfam:Aedes albopictus isolate Foshan contig36762, whole genome shotgun sequence.
CCGGUUAGCCUAGUGGUUAAGGUUAUGGAUCGCUAAUCCGGAGACGGCGGGUUCGAUUCCUGUUCCGG